CCGAGUUCGUGCCCCGCUGCGGGGUAGAUCUCCCACCCUUGUGUAUCUUCGUACCUUUUUCGUUGCUUUGGCGGGCCGCUCAGGCUUCGGCCUGGCCACCGGCUCCCCUGAAGGGGGCGGGUGCGCGCCUGCCAGAGGACCCCUCCAACUCUGUUUGUCAGUGUCGUCUGAGUACUAUAACCAAUCGUUA
rnacentral:misc_RNA from 1 species